UACGUAGGGUGCAAGCGUUGUCCGGAUUUACUGGGCGUAAAGCGCGCGUAGGCGGAACGUUAAGUCCGGUCUGAAAGCCCCCCGGCUCAACCGGGGAGGGUGGCUGGAAACUGGCGUUCUUGAGGGCGAGAGAGGAGGGUGGAAUUCCUGGUGUAGCGGUGAAAUGCGCAGAUAUCAGGAAGAACACCCGUGGCGAAGGCGGGUCUCUGGGCAGUAACUGACGCUGAGGAGCGAAAGCGUGGGUAGCGAACAGG
rnacentral:rRNA from 1 species